GCCGCCGUAGCACAAUGGUAGUGCGUUGCUUUCCUAUUAAUAGCUAGGCAGAGGUUGUGGGUUCGAUCCCCAUCGGCGGUU